rnacentral:rRNA from 1 species
UAGGGAAUUUUGGGCAAUGGGCGAAAGCCUGACCCAGCAACGCCGCGUGAAGGAUGAAGUAUUUCGGUAUGUAAACUUCGAAAGAAUAGGAAGAAUAAAUGACGGUACUAUUUAUAAGGUCCGGCUAACUACGUGCCAGCAGCCGCGGUAAUACGUAGGGACCAAGCGUUGUUCGGAUUUACUGGGCGUAAAGGGCGCGUAGGCGGCAUGACAAGUCACUUGUGAAAUCUCUGGGCUUAACCCAGAACGGCCAAGUGAUACUGUCGCGCUAGAGUGCAGAAGGGGCAAUCGGAAUUCUUGGUGUAGCGGUGAAAUGCGUAGAUAUCAAGAGGAACACCUGAGGUGAAGACGGGUUGCUGGGCUGACACUGACGCUGAGGCGCGAAAGCCAGGGGAGCAAACGGGAUUAGAUACCCCCGUAGUCCCUGAGCGGGCUGGCAAGGCGCAU